rnacentral:pre_miRNA from 1 species
AGUGGAACAACUGGGUCAUAUGGUGGCUCCAUUCUAGGUUUUUCUGAGGAAUCUCUAUACUGCUUUCCAGAGUGGUUGCACCAAUUUGCAGUCCCACCAGCAAU